AAACAUAUUUGACUAAACCUUACAAAUUACAACCACAUGCAAAAUUCCAAGCCGUAAGUUUGUUAAAUUUUCAUCCCCACACUCGCUGUUACAAAUGAGACCAACAGGCUUUACCAUAAAAUGUAUGCCGGCAAGUCCCCAUCUCCAAGCUUCUUAGCAAUAGGCAAGACCGACACUCCAACAGUGCUUCGCAAAGGAAGAUGCCAGCCGUUUCCACUUGUUUAACUGCUUGUAACUGACUGUAGAGUAAAAAUCAAUAGAACUCCAUUCGCAUGCCUACUGAGGAAAGACUACUUCGUCCCAACUGAAGAAAGCUUGUCCUGGCCAGAAGGCCGAAUUGAACUUCCUGCUGUAGUUGUUGAUACAAAUGGGUUAGAAGGGG
rnacentral:misc_RNA from 1 species